GUGUUCGCUUCAGCAGCACAGUACUGAAAUUGGAAUGAUACAGAGAAGAUCAGCAUGACUCCUGUACAAAAAUGACAUGCAAAUUCAUGAAAUGGUAAAUACACAC
rnacentral:snRNA from 1 species